rnacentral:lncRNA from 1 species
UCGGGGGGAUUUUUGGUUGGCGAUCUCAUCCGUACUCUUUCUCUCAGAUGUAUUGACACAACCCACACCCGCCUUACUCCAUAGGGAACCGAACUUGACUCCUGUGAAACAAGCGGCCAGGAAGUUCAGACCCGAACUUGAGAUAGAGAUUAAGGCAUAAGUUUAACAAUUAUUGGAUGCCAUUCCAAGUUUAUCCGAACUGAGAAGCAUCCAGAUUGGUUAGCAAAGGUCGUG